GCACUGACUGGGGGGACCCUGUGCAGGGGCCUCACUUGGUGCUCAGGUGGCAGAACGACCCCUGGCUUCCGGCUCCUCCCUGACACUUGCUGGCAGUGACUUGGUGAGACUUGGUUUCUUCACCCAUGGAAGAGGAUAACAGCUGCAUACACAGCCUCCCAGUUAGGGUUAUGUGACAUGAGCCUGACCAAGGUAGACUGUCUGGCCCAUCACAAGCACUCAGGAACUUGACCUAGGACCUCACAGGUGACCAGGGGUGAGGAGCACCUCCAGACGACGUGCCAGGCCCCCAGACACUCCGAGCAUCUUUAGUGUUUAUUUUUGAAAUCUGGUCCUUUGAGUUGUUGGCUUUUGCUUUUGCGGUGACAAAAGAGGGUUAGAUAUUGCUUUUAGAGUCUGGGCAAUCCCCAAUAUGGUUUCAAAAGAAUAUGAUGAUCCCUACUGGUAUGUGAGAUGACUUAUUAAAAUUACACCCUGUUUUCCAGCGGACCUUGUACAGUGUGGCCGCCUGUUAGAGAUGUUCCAGUCUCCUCUUAGGACAACUGUCAUUCCUGCCCUGGAGGGUGGGGGUGGGGGCGGCGGUCCACGAGCAACACUCCGCUUUUAGGGAAAGACCGGGCUUAGCCAAAACAUUUCCAACUUCCUACUCGCCCCCACCCCCCAAAUCCCCCAGAGGUUGCAAGCUGCCCCUUCUGUGUGCCUCGGGAGAGCAAAAUAGGAAUAUCUUGAAGAUUGCAGUCAAAAAGCCAUGUCCUGGGAGCCAGGAGCCACGCAAGCCCUUAGUAACUGCGUGUUUUGUUUCCUCCUCUUCAGAGCACCCAGGUAACCCCAGGGCCACCUAUCAGCAUGGAGGUCAGACUGACCCAGAUCCCACACUUCAAAACAAUUAUGCGGAGUGUCUCUCCUUUGCCAGCAGCUAAGUGUCAGAAAAGGCAUUGACGUCAUAGAUCUCUGCUCUGAUAAGUUGUGUUGCUGGGAGGCAAGGUUUACGGGUUACAGAUUGUGUCAAAGUGGUUUAUAAACUCAAACUCUAGGGGUUGCAACUGGCAUUGCAUUGUCUCAAAAUCAUGGAAACACCAAGAAGUCCAGGAAAAGAUACUUUUGAAAACUUGAUGUACCAACACGGCAGUGCUGGAAAGGGAGGCAAAGCAGCUGACAAGCAGGUGUUUUCAGCGUAGAGGCUGGAGCUGCCCCACCAGAGGCCGAUGAGAGGUUUGUGAAAGCUGAGAGGUGGACCCUCAUGUGGCUUCAGAAGCUCAGAUGCUUGGUGUCCUAGCACCUGAUGCAAAUGAUGGGUAAGUUGCUCACUCACCUGCAGCGCCACCUGCUUGUCCCUCCCUGGAAUACACCUGUUAGUCAAGCUCCAUGGAAACAGGCUGGAGAAAAUUAAAGAUGGAGGGAGGAUUUUGUGAGCUGUUUCUGCAUGAUCAGCACGACCUUCUUCAGAAGGGCCACAGACACCCGCAGUCGUGCAGGGCUCGCCUCCAUGUGACUCCUCAAUGUCAGCUGGCCUGAAGUGGGUGCUUCUGUUUAUAAACGAAUUCCUGUGCACAGCAAGUCUGGUGCAGCCUGGUGAGCCUGCUCUCAGUGCCAACAGCACAGUCCACAAGGCAUGGCAACCCGUGACAACAGCAGAUGGGAUGUGUGAUAUCUCAUUUCCAUCUUUCAUCAUUAGUUUCCCACACUCGAGUCACACCUGGGCAAGUGCUCUGUCCAUGGAAAACUGUUUGAUGACACCCAUCAAACAGGCCACAUGUCACCACCAAUGGGAAAGGAUGGGCAGACUGAAGGUAUCCCAGUGGGCUAAGUCUCUGCCAGCAUGUCACGUCUAUGCUCAGGUGUAACCGACAGAGCGCCUCCCUCGUGUGCCCCCACUGUGGGACUCAGGCCCAUUGGUCAUGCUCUUUCAAAGCAUCCCUGACUUUUCCUUCUGGCACCCAGGGCAAAUUCCAAGGAGGAUGCUUGGCAAGACCCUCUCCCUGGUAGAUGCCUGCCUCCCCCACUUGUUGCCAAACUCCAGGAGCUGGGGUUUUCUGUUCUUUCUUCACUACUGUCUAUAAAACCCUCAAGCACAUGGAGACCCUCCAAGGACUGAUCCUGGACGAAGGGCCCAGGGCCUUCUGGACAGACCACAGAGUCGAGAAACACUGGUCUUGCAAGGGCAGCUUCUGAGCCCUGAAUGGCGGGAUUCUGUUCUAACUGAAACUUUUGGUCAACAAGUUCCUUUCUGUAGUUGACCAUCAAAAUAGACUUUGUGUCAUUUGCUUCUGACCUGACCCUGUGCUUUUUGUAUCUGACUCACAGGUGGGUGACCCACAGCUCAUUCAGACAGUUGUCACAGCCCCUGGGCACCGUUUCCAGUGAAUGAUGUUGACAGUAAUUUUCUUAUUUGUGUUAAGAGUUUGACCUCUUAAAAAAAUGUAGUUUUACUCGCACUGCUAACAUCAAAACACACACACAGCAUGUUUCAUAGGGGUUACUUUGAAUCCGAUACCUGUUUUCUAUAGGCUGUCACUCUGGCAGUUUCUGGACCUGUCAGCUCUCAAACUCACCUCCUGGCUGGGAAGACGCUCCUUCUAGUAACUAAUGUUCUUUCCUAGUGAAAUUCAGAACCAGCUUUUCCACUGACCCAGAUAUUUCACAUGCAGAAAAAUGGACCAUUCACAGUCAGAGGAUGAUGAGGACAGACUUGAAUAAAGGCAACACUU